rnacentral:rRNA from 1 species
GACGAACGCUGGCGGCGCGCUUAACACAUGCAAGUCGAGCGAGAACCAGCCCUUCGGGGCUGGGGAAAGCGGCGAACGGGUGAGUAACACGUGGGUAAUCUGCCCUCGGCACCGGAAUAGCCCGGGGAAACCCGGAUUAAUGCCGGAUAGCCUCUCCGGCCCUUGGGUUGGUGAGAAAAGGUAGCUUCGGCCUCUGGCCGAGGAGGAGCCCGCGGCGGGUUAGCUUGUUGGUGGGGUAACGGCCCACCAAGGCGAUGAUCCGUAGCUGGUCUGAGAGGACGAUCAACCACACUGGGACUAAGACACGGCCCAGACUCCGACGGGGGGCAGCAGUGGGGAAUCUUGCGCAAUGGGCGAAAGCCUGACGCAGCGACACCGCGUGCGGGAAGAAGGCCUUCGGGUUGUAAACCGCUUUCAGGAGGGACGAAGCCACUCGGGUUAAUAGCCCAGAGGGUGACGGUACCUCCAGAAGAAGCCCCGGCUAACUACGUGCCAGCCGCCGCGGUAACAC